rnacentral:rRNA from 1 species
AUUGAACGCUGGCGGCAGGCCUAACACAUGCAAGUCGAACGAGUGGCGGACGGGUGAGUAAUGUCUGGGACACUGCCUGAUGGAGGGGGAUAACUACUGGAAACGGUAGCUAAUACCGCAUACCAUCGGAUGUGCCCAGAUGGGAUUAGCUUGUAGGUGAGGUAACGGCUCACCUAGGCGACGAUCCCUAGCUGGUCUGAGAGGGUGACCAGACACACUGGAACUGAGACACGGGCCAGACUCCGACGGUGGGCAUCAGGGGGGAAUAUUGCACAAGGGGCGCAAGCCUGAUGCAGCAAUGCCGAGUGUAUGAAGAAGGCCUUCGGGUUGUAAAGUACUUUCAGCGGGGAGGCGUUACCCGAAGAAGAAGCACCGGCUAACUCCGUGCCAGCAGCAGCGGUAAUAC